GGAGUUAGCCGGUGCUUCUUCUGUGAGUGAUGUCCUUCCUGCCGGUUAUUGACCCGCAGGCCUUCUUCCUCACUGAAAGUGCUUUACAACCCGAAGGCCUUCUUCACACACGCGGCAUGGCUGGAUCAGGGUUGCCCCCAUUGUCCAAUAUUCCCCACUGCUGCCUCCCGUAGGAGUCUGGGCCGUGUCUCAGUCCCAGUGUGGCUGAUCAUCCUCUCAGACCAGCUACGGAUCGUCGCCUUGGUGAGCCGUUACCUCACCAACCAGCUAAUCCGACAUAGGCUCAUCCGAUAGCGCGAGGCCCGAAGGUCCCCCGCUUUCCCCCGUAGGGCGUAUGCGGUAUUAGCCUGGGUUUCCCCAGGUUAUCCCCCACUACCGGGCAGAUUCCUAUGCAUUACUCACCCGUCCGCCGCUCGCCACCAGGGAGCAAGCUCCCCGUGCUGCCGCUCGACUUGCAUGUGUUAGGCCUGCCGCCAGCGUUCAAUCUGANCAUAAUACAACUACUGA
rnacentral:rRNA from 1 species